rfam:Gossypium hirsutum cultivar TM-1 scaffold5797.1_1, whole genome shotgun sequence
UGUUAAAAAAUUCAUCUAUUUGUACUUUUAAAAGUUGACAUGACUGAUGAAAUGACUAGAUAACAACAUGUAGUGUACUACAUGUACCUCAUAUCUAGUUACAAGAAUUAGUGUUUAAUAGAAGAAAUUUAUGAAAUUUUUAAUA